rnacentral:rRNA from 1 species
UACGGAGGGAGCUAGCGUUGUUCGGAUAUACUGGGCGUAAAGCGCACGUAGGCGGAUCGAUCAGUCAGGGGUGAAAUCCCAGGGCUCAACCCUGGAACUGCCUUUGAUACUGUCGAUCUGGAGUAUGGAAGAGGUGAGUGGAAUUCCAGUGUAGAGGUGAAAUUCGUAGAUAUUCGGAGGAACACCAGUGGCGAAGCGGCUCACUGGUCCAUUACUGACGCUGAGGUGCGAAAGCGUGGGAGCAAACAGG